AAAGCAUGGCUGAAUUAGAACUUUUUUUACCUUUUGGCUAUUUUGACCUUAAAUUUUAAAUUCACUUUGAAUUCUCACUUUAGAUUGUUGAUUGUUAUAUUGUUGGUGUAUUCAUAUAUGGCCCAAAGGUAUUUAGAAACCAGCUUAGGUAAGUUGUAUGGAACACAACAGGAUGAAAUAAAAGCUAUCUAUAUGUAUUUGUAACAGUAAAUGGAUAAUAACAUGUAU